AACGAACGCUGGCGGCAGGCCUAACACAUGCAAGUCGAGCGCCCCGCAAGGGGAGCGGCGGACGGGUGAGUAACGCGUGGGAACGUGCCUCUUGCUACGGAAUAGCCUCGGGAAACUGGGAGUAAUACCGUAUAAGCCCUACGGGGGAAAGAUUUAUCGGCAAGAGAUCGGCCCGCGUUGGAUUAGGUAGUUGGUGGGGUAAUGGCCUACCAAGCCGACGAUCCAUAGCUGGUUUGAGAGGAUGAUCAGCCACACUGGGACUGAGACACGGCCCAGACUCCUACGGGAGGCAGCAGUGGGGAAUCUUAGACAAUGGGCGCAAGCCUGAUCUAGCCAUGCCGCGUGAGCGAUGAAGGCCUUAGGGUUGUAAAGCUCUUUCGUGGGGGAAGAUAAUGGCUGUACCCCAAGAAGAAGCCCCGGCUAACUCCGUGCCAGCCGCCGCGGUAA
rnacentral:rRNA from 1 species